rnacentral:misc_RNA from 1 species
UCUAAUAUUGGAUUAUAGUACAAGAAGCUACAGUAUUUUGCUACUUCUUGAACAUCAUUCAGUUGCUUUUGAUUCAAAAGCUCAUCUCACGAGGGAAUGAUAUAAGGUGAUUGCAAAGGCUUUUCUUAUUUCAUUCUUUUCCCUUUUUCUGCUUAAGUUGCUAAGUUAAGCAGUAUAACAUUUAUGUUCAUCAUCAGCAUCCUGUUUCAAUCUGAGAUGGCUGCACAAUUCAGCCAAUGCUCCCUCGGACGAAAUCAGAGAACUUCAAAAGAGUAGCCAACAAUAUG